GCGGGUGUAGCUCAAUGGUAGAGCAGUAGCUUCCCAAGCUGAUGACGAGGGUUCGAUUCCCUUCACCCGCUCCA
rnacentral:tRNA from 3 species